AAUAGAUACCCCGGUAGUCCACGCUGUAAACGUUGGACACUAGGUGUGGCGGUCUGAUCAACGACUGCCGUGCCGAAGCUAACGCAUUAAGUGUCCCGCCUGGGGAGUACGGCCGCAAGGCUAAAACUCAAAGGAAUUGACGGGUCCCCGCACAAGCGGCGGAGCAUGCGGCUUAAUUCGAUGCAACCCGAAGAACCUUACCUGGGUUUGACAUCAUGGGAAAAGCCGUGGAAACACGGUGUCCGAAAGGGCCCAUGACAGGUGGUGCAUGGCUGUCGUCAGCUCGUGUCGUGAGAUGUUGGGUUAAGUCCCGCAACGAGCGCAACCCUUGUCCUAUGUUGCCAGCGGUUUCGGCCGGGGACUCAUAGGAGACUGCCGGGGAUAACUCGGAGGAAGGUGAGGACGAUGUCAAGUCAUCAUGCCCCUUAUAUCCAGGGCUGCACGCAUGCUACAAUGGUCGGUACAACGGGCAGCGAUCCUGCGAAGGUGAGCGAAUCCCACAAAGCCGGCCUCAGUUCGGAUUGGAUCUG
rnacentral:rRNA from 1 species